CAAGAGUAUAACUUCUUCCCUCUUUAUGGCAAUCCUAGGGUCCUUUCUCUCUUCUCUUUUUUGGUUUUUUCUUCCUGUUUUUCGUUUUUUUGGAAGGUAAAAUGGGGAAAAAAUACACUUAAAUUUCUUGAAAGAGUCUUGGUUCUGGUCAUGAUCUCUUCCUAAAUUAAAUCUGUUUUACUUUUAAUUUUUGGUUAUUUUCCAACCUUUGCUAUUCGAUUUGAAAACUUUAAGUUAUGCCCUAAUUUUUGAAAUUUUCAUUAAUCCUUUUUCCUGCGUUUGAAGUUUUUCUGAUUCUUUAUGUCUUUUAAAGCUUACUAGAUUAGAGUUUCUUUAUCUUGUUUAAUCCUUUGAACUGAUUCGUGUUGUUGUUAGCUUUCUUCGUGUUUUUCCCCUUUAUAGGUCAUGAGCUGAUAGAGAUGCAUAGAUAGAUUUAUCGGAGACAUUAUUAUGAGAUUUGAUUAUCCAACUGUGACGGGAUGAAAUUUGGACUACUUCAAAUAAAGGAUCUGAUAAACAAAAGAAAUGUGAGGGAAGUCUUGGAUUAGAUUGGUACUUUCGUCACUGUGGACACACCGGCAGGAAACUUUUAUGAGGCCAAGCUAAUGGUACCUCUGAACUCUCCUUUGACUAAAAAAGUGAUCUUUAAUACUAGUAGGAGAACAUACUAUAUGACAGCUUUUUAUCCUAAGCUUCAUUUUCAUGCAUGCAAGCAAUGUUUUGUACUUUACCAUGAUGAAGCUUUGUGCAAGGAGUUCCAGAUGAGAAUUUAUGUUAGAGCAUUACCUGCUCCCUCUCCUCGAGCCACUCAUGUUGUUGUUACAAAAGUGGUGACAAAUAAGGAAAAAGGUGAGAGUUCGCAUUCCUCUGGACCAUCAAAAUCUUUUGAUGUUGCUGCUUCACCUAAUGAGCAUUCUAAGCCUUCUGCAUUCUCGGUCAGUCUCCAACCUUCUAGAGCUCUCACUAAUAGAGGUUCUUCACUUUCACUUCCAGUUAGCUCCUCUGUUUUUCCUGUUGGGCUAGUGCAUGAUAGAAAAGGCAAAAGGUCUAGGACUGCUUUUGAGUCUGUUUAUUUAAGUUUCUCGACUUCUUCAUCGAUGAUGCCUACUCCUCACUGACCUCCUUUGGCAUCAAUGCCUCCUUUUACUACUCAUGUUGAUGAUUCAUUCAACGCUGGUAGUUUAGGAGUGUUCUCUAGCUCAGGAUCUGCUGAGGAAAAUUUGAUAUGGUCUGUUACCUGUACUUCAUUCUCUUAGACUAUUUUUACUUCUUCGGGUCUCUCUUUUAGCUCGGCUUCUGAAAUGAACUACACUUCAGAAUUUUUAUGAAUGCUAACUCGGAAAGUGAUUUUGUGAGUAACUCUGAUCAGAACAGUGAAUUUAAGGAUGCAAUAAUUCUUGAACCUAUGUCGUUAGCUUCACAUCCUCCUGAACCCGUAGUCACUGAUGAAGAAUUUGACAAGGAAAUCAAUCUCAUAAUGAUGGACUUUGGCUCUAUGGAUGCAGAACCCUCCUCAGCUCAUGACCUAGUAAGUUAUUUUUUCUUGAACUCGCUUAUUUCAAACUACUUAUUUUGUUUUUCCAUUGUUCUGUAUGUUGUGAUCUUUUUACUUCUAGUUUCAUAGCUUGUUUGAGUUGCCUUUUUCUGAGUUAUCAUGAAGUUCUUGUGCUGGAAUAUAAAUGGUUGUUGUUCUGAUCGAAAUUGGCUUCAUAUUUUAAACCUUUUUAGAAAAUUUAAAUUUGACGCUAUAUGUUUGAUGGAAACCAUGGUAGAUAACGAAUCAGUAAAUAGAUAUUGUCAUCAUUUGCCCUUUGAUUCAUGGUUUGUUGUGCCUUCUGAUGUAGGACAUCUAGACCAAGUCACCCCCGUUUGAACAUGAUAGUCAAACCUUAUUCUAUUUCUAGUAUUUUUCCCUAAAUUUUAUGAUUUCCCUAUUCUAAAACUAUUCUAUAACUUAAUAGUUUCCUAGUUUAGUAUGAUUUCCUUUUUCUAGUUUUACUACGUUUAGAAAAUAGUGAAGCCUAUAUAAGAAGAGGCCUAGUCUUGUAGAAUUUCUACACAUUCAACAUUAUUAUCUUAUUUGAUUUAUCAAAGAUAUUUUAUUUAGUUAUUGUUCUCUAGUUUUCUUAUAGCUUUUGUGAAUCUAUUGAUUUCACACUAGUUUUCACUAUCUUUUGGAUCCUUGAUCCAAGUUAUUACGCUUCCGCUACGUUAAGUGGUAUCAGAGCCUCGAUUGAGAGCCUCCACUAACAUGGGUGAUAAGAAGAUUGAAGAGUUAAAGACUAGUUUGAAGAAAGACCUAGAAGUUGAUGUGCAAGCAAUGGGAAUCAAACUAAAAACGGAGUUAACCAUUGAGUUAACCACAGUGAUGGAUGAACGUUUUGAAUAUUUUAAAGAGUGGUUUUCUACCAAGUUCAUGGGACACGAAGGAAAGAAGGUAAACGAAGGAAAGAAGGUAAUUGGAGAAUUACCUAAAACCCAAGCUGAAAUUGUCCAUCUUCAUACUUCUACCCCUCCCAACUCCACCACUCAUCUUCAAACCCUUCAAGUCACUUCCCAACCUUCUCACAGCCAUGAUACUUCCAAAGAUAAGUCAUAUUACCAUCCAUUAUUCACUACCCCCAACUUACUCUUCCUGUCCACCUUACACAACCCCACAAUUUGAAUUUUUUGAAGAUUUCAGCUCUUACUAUACUCCCCAUAACUUAAAACAAAUCUUCUACAAAGCAGCAAGCAGUUGAUGUUGAAGACUAUGAGCCAUAUUAUUAUCCUCCACCACCGCGCCAUCAGAGGAACAUGGGAAAUCCACAAACCUAUCGCCCCAAGGCUGAUAUAACUCUGUUUGAUGAACUUCUACACAUUGAAGAUUUCUUAGAUUGGUUGUGUACAGUUGAUCAUUUCCUUGCUUGUAUGCGCAUACCUGAAGAUCAACAAGUAGAACUUGUUGCUUUCAAGCUUACAUGGCCAGCCUCCUCAUGGUGGGAUCAUCUUCAACUAGAAAGAUCCAACUAAGGAAUGCGACAAGUUCAAUCCUUCCCAGCCAUGAAGCAACUAUUGAAGAAGAGGUUUCUGCCUCUGAAUUACAUGCAGACCUUAUUCAUCACUUUACAAAACUGUCGUCAAGGAAACUGUUCAGUACAAGAAUAUGUGACUUAAUUUUCGCGUUUAUUGUCUCGGAAUCAGCUGAAUGAGACGGUUGAUCAAACAAUUGGGCGUUUCAUCAACGGACUUGAUUGGAAUAUACAAGAAAGGUUAGCUACUCAACAAUAUACUUCUCUUCAUGUUAUCAUUAAUAAUGCUCUAAAAAUAGAAUCGUUCAUGCUUUCUCCACAACCAUACCCAAAAAACCUCAUCCUUUAGCCCUAGAAAACCUCUAUUUCAAAGUUUUCCCAAUAGGCAACAACCAUCUCCAUACCAAUCUCGUAUUUCUCCUACUACCACUACCACUACCACUACCACUACCACCUAACCAUCUUCUUCCCAAACCCCACCUGCCACGAAGGCUCCGCCACCUCCACCCCAACCUAAUAAUGCCCAACCCAUUAGGUCAAGACCUCCAAACCCUUAUGCCUACCCAACUGAAAACAAGUGUUAUAAGUGUAAGCUACCAGGGCACACAUCAAAUCAAUAUAGAAGUGGGCGUACAUAGAUGACCGAAGAAGAAUCUGUUGUGUAUGAGGAAGAAAAUGAAGAUGUUCAUAGAAAUAUCGAAGAUAUACAAGCAUAUGCGGAGGAAGGAGAUGAAGUGAUUAUGUCUCUUAUGUUAUUCGAAAUCUAUUGUCCAUUCCUCGUGUUGAUUAUCCAACCCGUAAUCGUCUAUUCCGCACUAAGUGUCGUGUGCAAGACAAGAUAUGUGAUAUGAUCAUUGACAGUGGAAGUUGUCAAAAUAUUGUUUCCUCCAGUUUGGUGGAAAAGCUGCAAUUAUCUACUCAUCCACAUCCAAAACCAUACUCCAUUGGUUGGAUUGAUGAUAACAACAAGAAGAAUGUAGAUUCUCAAUGUUUCGUGUCAUUUAAAAUUGGAGAAUAUAACUAGACAGUGGUUUGUGAUGUUGUGGAUUGUAGUUGCAGGAAAUCCUACACUACACCCCUCAUAUGAUUUCAUUAACACUCAACUCAUUUUAGAUUAACAAUAUUAAUUUUAUUGAUGAA